UAGGGAAUCUUCCGCAAUGGACGCAAGUCUGACGGAGCAACGCCGCGUGAGUGAAGAAGGAUUUCGGUUCGUAAAACUCUGUUGUUAGAGAAGAACAGCGCAUAGAGUAACUGUUAUGCGUGUGACGGUAUCUAACCAGAAAGCCACGGCUAACUACGUGCCAGCAGCCGCGGUAAUACGUAGGUGGCAAGCGUUGUCCGGAUUUAUUGGGCGUAAAGCGAGCGCAGGCGGUCAAUUAAGUCUGAUGUGAAAGCCCCCGGCUCAACCGGGGAGGGUCAGUGGAAACUGGUUGACUUGAGUGCAGAAGAGGAGAGUGGAAUUCCAUGUGUAGCGGUGAAAUGCGUAGAUAUAUGGGGGAACACCAGUGGCGAAGGCGACUCUCUGGUCUGUAACUGACGCUGAGGCUCGAAAGCGUGGGUAGCAAACAGG
rnacentral:rRNA from 1 species